ensembl:lncRNA
UGACUGAGCCACCCAGGCGCCCCUAUUUUAUUCCGUUUUAUGAAAAUUAUCUAGAAUAGUGUCUGGCACAUGGUAUGAACCAGAGAAUAUACUACAGCCCAGGGAAAGGGUUGAUCGCAGCUGUCCUACUGAGAGCAGGCCUUUUUCUUUAUCAUCAACAGCAACAACAAUAACAGCAACUGUCACCACCACAAAAGAAGGGCAUUCAGAAAUUAGCAAACACAUUUGUCAGAUUUAUACAAGAUUCCUGAGAAAUUGGAGAAAGAAGUAAAAAUGGAUUGAAGAAGACUCAAGAUUAGAGUCAAUCUCUGAUCCCACAGGCUUUAUGGUCUACAGGUAAGUAAAGGAAUAUCUUUUCUUCUUUGUCUCAUAUCAGUGAUAUAGAGUAAAUAGUGAUAGCUACUUUUGAGAAACUGUCUCUGAUACUUAAUUCUGAAAAGCUAUGGUUGGAAACUUUCUGAUGUAAUGAAUAUUAUAGUCCAGAGGAAAUUAAAAAAUAAGAAAACUUAAUCCUAUGAUAAUGAAAUGUUAGAGUUAAGAAAGGUAGAUAUAUGAGCCAUGAUAGACCCUAUAAGCAAGAAUACAGGCUUCUAUGUGUAAAUUUCUGUGCCUGUUACUUUAUACGCGCGAAAGUAAAAAAUGGUCCUAUCACCUAAGAAGGAACUAAACAUCCACCAAUAAUCUUAAUACAGGAGGCCCUUUGAAUUCUGAGCUAAGAAGUAUGGAUUUUACUCUCUAGGCAUCGGGGAGCUGUUGUGACUAUCUGAACAGGUGAGUGACAUGUCCAGAAUUACGUUUUAUGAAGAUUAACCUGAUGGCAUAUUCAGGAUUGAUUAGCGUGAAGCCUGUAUUGUGACAGAACAGAUUGUGGUAAUGCAGGUCUGAAAUAUGGUGGUGGCAAUGAGAGUAGAAAGGAAGAAAUUGAUCUGAGAGAUCCAUGACAGUGGAACUACAGGACUUGAUUAUUAAAUAUGUGACCUGAAGUAGGGAGACGUCAGUGAUGACUCCAGACACUUUGAGACUGGAUGAGAAAUCAAGUAUGGAAGGGAAAGAGUGUCCUGACUGUCCGUGGUUUAUUAUUAUCUCCUGGAUGCUGUGAAUCAUAUAAUUGAUUACAUUCUAAAAAUCUUGGGUCCAAAUCUGUGUUCCACAUCUACUAAGCAUGCUGUGUCAUCCUGCCAUUUAUUUUUUGUACAGUGAUCCAUUGCCAGCCAUAGUUAUUACACUAUUAAGAAGCAUAGCGUGUGGCAAAACUAUAGUUGACUAGACCAAGAGAAUACAGAAAAAUGUCAUUUAAUGUGGUUUUAAAAAUUAAACUUAAUAAAAAUUCUGGAAAAUUCA